AACGACUCUCGGCAACGGAUAUCUCGGCUCUCGCAUCGAUGAAGAACGUAGCGAAAUGCGAUACUUGGUGUGAAUUGCAGAAUCCCGUGAACCAUCGAGUCUUUGAACGCAAGUUGCGCCCGAAGCCUAUGGCUGAGGGCACGUCUGCCUGGGCG
rnacentral:rRNA from 1 species